rnacentral:lncRNA from 1 species
ACGAAGGAGAGGAUGAAGAUCUCCUUCUUGAUCUUCUUCUCUUUCCUCUUAUUCUUCUCUUCUUCUCCUUCCUCUUCUUCUUCUCUUCUUCUUUUCCUUUCUUUCUUCCUCACGAUCAGAGAGAGAGAAAGAGAGAGUGAUGAGGGAGAGUGAGGGAGUGAGUGAAAGAGAGAGAGAGAGACCUCUCUCUUAACCCUACACAUGGCCAUUUUGCACGUAAGCCCCUCACUUUUCCAUCUCUCAACUUGCUCUCACUGGGCUGAACCCGCGUGGAGGGACCGGUCUCCCCGACCUGGGACCCGUCCCAGA